rnacentral:rRNA from 1 species
UACGUAGGGGGCGAGCGUUAUUCGGAAUUAUUGGGCGUAAAGGGCUCGUAGGCGGUUUGUCGCGUCGGGAGUGAAAUCCACUGGCUUAACUGGUGGCUUGCUUUCGAUACGGGCAGACUGGAGGUAUGCAGGGGAGAACGGAAUUCCUGGUGUAGCGGUGAAAUGCGCAGAUAUCAGGAGGAACACCGGUGGCGAAGGCGGUUCUCUGGGCAUGUCCUGACGCUGAGGAGCGAAAGUGUGGGGAGCGAACAGG